GGAGCGAGCCCGCUGCUGACAGAAAGACUGAGGGCCGGGCGCCAGGCCGGACGGAGCACAAGGCGGGGGCCAAGCGGAGCCCGGCCCCGGCGGUGGCGGUGGCAGCAGCGCAGGACGCAGAGGAGGGUGAUGAGGGACCUAACACAAUUGUGAUCUGCAUGGUCAUCUUACUGAACAUUGGUCUGGCCAUCCUAUUUGUACAUUUUUUGACAUGAGGUCCCCCUCGGACAAGGCGUUGCUGCUCACUGAGACCAUGGACCUUGGUGGGGAUUUAAUCUCAGUCACCUGGAAACACCUAUGAGAAGGACUUGAGAUCCCAAGGUUGCACUGCAAACAUGAACCUUAAGCAAAAGUACCUGAAGAUCCCCUGUCCAGUCUCCCUGCUCCCAGGCUGUGGCUGGCCUCUGCAAUCUACCAAGAAAAAGGCCGAAUUUCUACAACUCAACCUCCUUCUCUUCUUUGUAUAAAAUGGCAGUUGCCUUAAAUUAUUCUCACCAAAGCCAUCAACUGCCCUGUCAUGCCAGGGAUGAGGAAUUUAUCUUUAGCUGUAGGAAAGUGAGUGAGAAGGUCUCAUCCACGCACUGUGUUUUGUAAUUGUCUUGGUUGACUUGAUGUUGGAGGUUUCCCAAAGAGUAUCAUCCACGGCCUGAAAACGCAACAAUGUGCAACAACCAAAAUGACUCCUGAGAGCUGUGCCACGGCUAGGGCUGGGCAGCGUCUCCCUCCAUGCUCGUAUGUUAUUCAAAGGGACAAGCAAAAAGUCUUUCCUUUCCCCAUCAUAUGGAGUCGUUUUCCACGUACGGAGGACUGAGAGGGGGAGCAUGUUGACACUGGGCUUGGUGAAGUGUGACCGGAGCCCUGUGAAUGCCUGCCGACGAGCCAUGGUCGGGGCUGCGGGGUGGGGUGUGAGGGGCUGGCUGGUGUGAGGCUGCUGGUGUGCCCAGGGGUGCUGCGGGUGCAGACAGUGCCCAUUUCAGGGCUGGGCACCAUCCAAGCUCUCUCGUGCCGCCAGCAAUGCUGUGUGUGAAAGCAUCUUGCAGCGGGUGACUUCCCUCUGUAACGGGAAAGGAAAUCAAUGUGCUGAAUUUGCCCCUUUACCCCUUUUUUUUCUUUUUUCCCUAUGAAAAUGGUGCGAGUUACAAUUGAAAGGAGGUACUUACUGAACAAUACCCCUGUAUACCCACAGGUUCCUCCUCCUCCUCCUCCUCGUAGUGCUGAGCUGUGAGGGGGCUCCAGUGCUGCUUUUUCACCGAAACAAAGCGGACAGCCUUUCCCAGCAGAGCGUGCAGGGUGGCUGUUGUGGGAGAGGUGAGGUUAUUCCUGAAAGGAGAAAGGUGCAGAGACCCGAGUGACUCCAGUGUGUUUGGGCAUUGCGCUCAAAACUAUGCAGCAGCCAGCCUUUCAGCAAGGGUAGAGCACAGAGGGGCAAUAGAGCUGUUGUUCUGUGUGCCAGGCUUAGAGGCCUGGACAGUUUGCAGCAAUUCUUCCCAAGGCUGCAAUAGAGAAGUGACCUUUGGAAGGAGAUGUUGCCACUGUGAUCUGCUCUGAUCCUUAGCAGUGUGAGCUUAGAAAGUCGGCACAGAUGAAGUUACAGUUUAGUGUGAGGCUGAGUGCUUGGACCUGUUUCUUCCUUCUUUUAAGAGCAAUAUGUAUUUUGUAUCUAUUUUUAAGUUAAUCGGAAAUGUUAUUUAUAGUCGGUUGUGCACCUCUGUGUAUUCUGAAGUCUCACAGCACAGGACUGGGUGGGAAAACCUGAGAGACUGGAAAGAACGUGGAAGCGAUGGUCGAGGGAAAAAACAGAUGGCCAGUCUGCUCCAAAGGUCUUACGAAGAUGCAGAUAUGUUUCACUCUUCACACAAAAAUACCUUCAUCACAGAUUUUGCAAGCUGUGUACUACAAUCCAUGUACUGCUGUCUGGAGUUUUGUCGGUUGUUCUGCUGGAAUACGUGCAAUAAUAAACAGUUAUCUGCUC
rnacentral:lncRNA from 1 species